UAUUUCUUCCGAGCUCCUUGCCACGCUGAGAUAUUCCCUUGUUCUCGUCGAUUUCGAGUCUAGGGUUUCGCCUUCCUCUCGUCUCUCUCCCUCCCCUCCUGUCUGAGUUGGAGAUGGACGCUUUGGAUUCGGCUGUCGAUCCCCUGCGGGACUUCGCCAAGGACAGCAUCCGCCUCGUCAAGAGGUGCCACAAGCCUGAUCGCAAGGAGUUCACAAAGGUGGCCUUUCGCACGGCGAUCGGAUUCGUGGUGAUGGGGUUCGUGGGAUUCUUCGUGAAGCUGAUCUUUAUCCCGAUCAACAACAUCAUCGUCGGAUCUGGCUAGGAACAAGAGAUUGUGGAGGGAGCAGUGCAAGAAAUUAUAUUUUUCAGUUUAUAUCUUAUGAAGACUUUUUUAAAAUUUGACACAUAGAAAUGCAUCUUUGAAAGAUGACAGGGUGUUCGUCGUUUUUGUUGUUUUCUUUUCCAUUGAUGGACAGUCUGUAUUUUAUCAUUAGCUUGUAGUGUAAUUCUCUGAAGUUAUCUAUAGGGAAGCAAAUGUUAAUGAUGGGUUUGUUGGGAAGGGGGUAAA